rnacentral:rRNA from 1 species
GGCCGCGGGAAUUCGAUUCAGGCCUAACACAUGCAAGUCGAGCGAGCGGAUUUCCUUCGGGAAAGAAGCUAGCGGCGGACGGGUGAGUAACACGUGGGCAGCCUGCCUCAUAGAGGGGAAUAGCCUCCCGAAAGGGAGAUUAAUACCGCAUAAGAUUGUAGCUUCGCAUGAAGUAGCAAUUAAAGGAGCAAUCCGCUAUGAGAUGGGCCCGCGGCGCAUUAGCUAGUUGGUGAGGUAACGGCUCACCAAGGCGACGAUGCAUAGCCGACCUGAGAGGGUGAUCGGCCACAUUGGGACUGAGACACGGCCCAGACUCCUACGGGAGGCAGCAGUGGGGAAUAUUGCAAAGUGGGGGAAACCCUGAUGCAGCAACGCCGC